CUACUGAGGUCUAUGACCAUCCCUGUUGGAUCUAUCUGCUCCACACGUGGCUCUGCUGGUGGGAAUAGGAUCACAGAAUAUCCAGAGCUGGAAGGGACCCACAAGGACCAUCAAGUCCAGUUCCUGAUCCUGCACAGGACCCCCCAAGGAUGCCAUUGUGAGAGGUGCCAAAGCUGGUCCUCCACCACUCUCCUCUCGACACACCCGACUCCAGGAGGUGACCCAAAGGAGAAGAGCAGCUUCUGAUUCAUCAGCUGCUACCGAGGGCUGCCAGGAACCCUGGGGCCACUUUGAUGUGCAGAGGAGAGCAGGGUGUGCAUCCCAUGGUUUGAGCUGGGAUGUGGGAUCAGGUGUGACACAACGUGACACGGACCUGCCGGAUGUUGACGUUCCCCUAAACUCAUUCGCAGUUUUUUUUGGAUUUUCCUGCCUGGGAUUUCACUCAGUUUGGAGGGGGUAGGUGCCACACAGGGGGAAAAUCAUUCCCGAGCCUCCUGACCCAAAGGAGACAACAAGAAUUCACACGAUGGGGCCUGGAAAGGAGGAAGAGGAGGAUGAGCUGGCUCCAAAUGCUGUUUUACAGAGCGUGGUGGGGGGGCUGUGACCUGGAGAGAACCAGCAGGAACACCCCUGCCUACACCACAGUGCUGUGGGUGGCUGCACCAAGCUAGACCACCCUAAAUCCGAGGUUGGAAAGGACUGCCUGCAGAAGUUUGGAGCCCCGGGGAGGGGAACAGCGUGUGCCAGGCAGGCAGGUGGCAGCUUGGUGGCAAUUGCACAGUUGGGCAGCCUUGGAGGAGAGAGCCAGAAGGCCGAGUCAUUCCAGCACACUGGGCUCACAUGGAGGAGCGUAUGGAUCACUGCUGCAGCUGAGACGGUGGAGAGCAUGGGGGAGAGGACCUGGACAUCCCCCAGGGAGGAUGGAGCGACCUUGGGGCCCGUUGGAAGGGGCAGUGUGAGAUGAUGGAAUGCAGUUCCUCCAGGGCUGCUCCAGGCAGGCGUCUCCAGGAAAGCCGCUCUGCAUUGACUUCCAAAUGAGAGUAAUUAAAGCAAAUGAGGCCUUCGCAGGGAAGAGAGCUCCCGGCUGGAUGAUGCUCUCGGCUCAAGAGGGAAGAAGGACGGGGUUAUUUGUUCCUGCAGGAGGUUCUGCGGAUGAUGAGGGACAAAUUCUCAGCUCUUUGGACUCUUUGCAUCACAGCCCCGUGAUGAAGAACGGGCAGCACCUCCGGAGAGGCUGGGCUGGCUGGGAAGAUGUUUGGUGCCAGGAUCUGCAGGGAAAACUGGCAGGGGAUGAUUUUAAGCCGUGCUUGCCACCUCAUUCCCAGUCUGAGCCACUCUGGAGCUGCUGGAAGUGCCAGAAGGACCACAGCAGGUCCCAGGGCUGGGCAGAGGCAGCAGAAGUCUCCCCACCUCUCUGGGACUGCCAGAGAGGCCAUUCCUGGGAGAGAAGGGCCUGUCCAGACACACAAGGAAGGACGAAGGCCAUUUCUUCUGGAAAUGUGGCUGUGGAUGGGGAACAGCCAAGCACAGGCUCCAAGGAGGAAUUUAGGAAGAAACUCUUGGCUGUGAGGGUGGGCAGGCCCCGGCACAGGGUGCCCAGAGAAGCUGGGGCUGCCCCUGGAUCCCUGGAAGUGUCCAAGUCCAGGCUUGGAGCAGCCUGGGAUAGUGGGAGGUGUCCCUGCCCAUGGCAGGGGGUGGAAUGGGAUGAGCUUUAAGGCCCUUCCAACCCAAACGAUUUUGGAAUUCUGUGAGGAAUGGUGUGUGGGUCGUGGGUUGUUACUUUUGGGGAUUAUUUCUCCCCAGCACCCAUUGUCCUCUUCCUAAGCGACCAGGUGUUUUCCAAGGAUUACUGGGAAGAGGAUGGAAACCUGCAGCACUGCCAUUCCCUCCCCAGCCUCUGGACAUUUCCAGCGGGCAGCAGAAGGGUGGGGAAGCUGCCAAGGAGCUGAGAGGGCCCCCUUUGUUAGGGAGGGCCUUUGUUAGGGGCUAUUUAACCAUUAACCAGCACAACACUCGCCCUGUGUUCCCAGUUCCCACUGCCACGCUGGGCCCCCACCUCUGUGUGUGUGGGCAUUGCAGAGUCCUGAGCUGCUCCCAGCCCUGGAGACGUGGCCUGGCACAGCGUUCUGGUGGCGACAGGAGCCUCUGUGCCGCCCCUCUGCCCGCAGGCAGCCCGCAGGUGUGGGGUCAGGGCGUUGGGACGGGUUGUUAACUUCCCUCUUGCAGCCAUAACUCGGAGGACAUGGAUGGAGGGGUUCAGAGAGCUCAGAAAUGAAGCCUGGAGCUGCUGGGAGCUGAAGCGAGGCGCUCAGGCAGCCCUGAUGCAGCCAUGGCACAGCAGGAGGACCUGGAUCUGCAGGAAUCUUCCCCCCAACCCUCAACCUUCAACCCCUUUUCCCCACCUUUCCCCAACCCCCUUUUUUUUUUUCAGGGACAAUCCUGCAGGUUUAGCAUCUUUACCAAGGGGAUCUGAGAAUCACACCAGUCCCAAGGGAUUUUUGAAGCUGAGGGAGUAAGAAGGAUGCUGGCAAUUUCCUGAUAUCCCUGUGGAAAAGAAGUCUGGGGCAAGUUGGGUGAUGUGACCAAGGUUAGGCAGGAGUCUAAAAAUCCUGCAUUUAGGCCCAGCUUUGCAUCCUGCUCUCUUCCUGGCAGCAGAAUACAGAUUUGGAUGCAAGGCCAGGUGGGAUCAGGAGCUUUGGGAGUGCCUGUUUCCCCAGUCCCCAUCUUUUGGGAAUGCUCCAGCACCAUGGGAUCAUGAGAACCUCUGUCAGCUGCGAGCAGCUGCAAAAUCUGGGUACCAAUGGGCUGAGCAAUAAAAAUUAUCCCAGAAUCCCAGAAAGGUUUGGGUUGGAAAAGACCUUAAAGCCCAUCCCAUCCCACCCCUGCCACGGGCAGGGACACCUCCCACUAUCCCAAGUUGCUCCAAGCCCCAUCCAACCUGGCCAGGAACAUUUCCAGGGAUCCAGGGGCAGCCCCAGCUUCUCUGGGCACCCCUGUGCCUCCCCAUGCUUUUAUUAUUUAUUUACAGAUUUUAUCACUAUUUAUUAAUAAAGACACGUAUUAUAAGAUUGUUAAUAUGAAUACUAAUCCAAAUUCCCAUCUAUUGUAUCAUUCCCAAUAAUAAAUAAGGAUGACUAAUAAUAAAUGAGAGGAAUCUAAUCUGAGGGCCGAUGAAGAGCUGGCUGAGACACUCGCUGCCCUCCUCACAAAUUCCUGCCAUGCUUCCAGCAUUUCGGGAAGCUGUGGGAUGCCAUCAGUCAGGGAGGGAGGACAGGGGGUCAUUCUGGUCACCCAGGGGGUGUCCAGGCUCCAGAGCUCACCUUCCAGCAGUGGUUUAAUGUCACUGCUGGAGAGUCUGAUGGGCUUGGUGAGCUUUCCUCCCUGGAAUCUCACACCAGCGACUGAGGGAAGCAAACACAGGCUAAGCUGAAAUAAACAGAAUGGUUUAUUCGAGCAAAUAUUCCCAGGCUGAGCUCUCCAUAUCCCACCAUCCUCGUGCUGAAAUGUCUCAAUUUUGCUCUGCCAGUCCAGCACAAGCCUUUUUUGGUUUUUUUUGGCACAGAGUGUGUGCAAAGUGCCAAAAGUGCCUCGCAGCAGUGGCCUUGUGCUGCUCACACAAAUGACUUGGGGUAAUUCCCCCCAAGAAGAAGCUCCAGGAUGGAGCUGCCUGAAGCAAAGCAAACAAUGUUUGAACCGCUGUGGAGGUGUUUUUUUUCCUUCUUCUGGCAGUGGUUUCUAGGCUGUUUCUUGGUGAUGGUCAUCCUCAGGCCACCCAAAAUUGGGCCAGAAGCACCUGGCGCCGUGCAGGAGCCGCCACGCUCCAAGGAAGCAGCGCCCUGCGGAUUGCAUUAACCAGGAUGAUCCUUUUAAAGAUCCUUGCUCGGGAAGCAAAUCCCGUUUGAAGUAAAGCAGAGGGAUUUAGCUUAACGAGGCAAAGCCAGGGAAGAGAGGGAGAAGGAGCUGUGUGGCUGACGCAGCACGAGGCGAGGCAGAACCUGCAGCUGAGUGGCUCCCGGCCUGGAGGAGACGUCGGGAAGCUGCGUGCACGGAAAAGUGGGAUACACCAAGCUGGCGAGGCUGCCUUGUCCAUGGGAUCACUGAGAGAUCACUCAGCAGCCCUCCUUGGUGGCCUUCGGAGAGGGGAGGUCUGCCAGGGACCAGCAGAGGAGCAACAGGGCACACACACACACUGGUGGCUCAUCUCUGCUUAUUCCUGUCCCUGACCCCGUCUCCCGCUGCUCCCAGUCCUGAUCCAUCCUCUCCUGCCCUUUGGAAUGUUCCAGCUCCUUCUCAGCCGAUGCAGCCCCCCAGCUGCUCCCUCACUGCUCUUCCUCCCGUGCAGGGGCAGCAUCCCUGGGCACUGCCCGGCGGCCCCAGGUGCCACCAUGGUCCCCAAACCUCUUGCUGGGGACUGUUUGGCCUCUCUGCCCGCCCGGGGAGGUGGCACAGCCCCAUCCAUCAGGGCCAGCGCUGCCUCGGGGCGCCGCAAGGUCAGCAGCAGCCCCUUGCGCUACGUUCUCAUGACAACCGGCCCAAACGCCGCCUCCUCCCCGCUGACAGAAGCGCUCUCCGGCCAGCAGCACAGGCUGCUCCCAGGAGGAUGCCCGUCCUUGCCGCUGGGAGCUUCGCUGGCCACAGGGCACGGCCCUUCCCGCCCCUUCCCCCGCACCUCGGGAGAAAUCCCAGCUCCACGGCUCUGUGGGAGCGGGUAGAUCCAGCUGCAGGGUCACACACACCCGCUCGCAGCCUCUCAAACGCGCAGCCCAAACCCUGGCAGCUGCUUCUGUUCCCCCACCGCGGGGAAAGGGAUGGUUCCCCCUUUCAACCAGGAGGAAACCCCCCCCAGCUCCAUGUGGUGCCCAAAGUCCAGCUGCCCUGGCGCCCAGAUAAGCCCAGGGACACGAUGUCAGCGUGCACACCUCCAUGCCAGCUGGAAAAUCCCCAAAAAUCAGCUGCUGCCCGGUGGGGUCGGUGAGGACAAGUCCCUUCGGGCUGAGGAAGGCGCGAGCACUGCAGCAUCCACUGCUGGGCUUUCAGAUCCAUGGAAGCAGGAGGAGCACGCGGUGUCCCAUGGAAAAUGGGGCCAGAGCAUGGUCAGGAGCAUCUUCAGGAGCACCGGAGUGUGUGGCAGAGGGACAGGAGCCCGUCGGUGAUGCUCUGUGUGAGGAAGGAGCUGCACCUUCCAGAGGCUCCUCGCAGGGCCAGGGGGCAGCUGAGCAACCCACAACUCCAUCCUGGAAUGCCGCGGUCCAGGGAGUUGUGAGCCUUGACAGCAGCGCAGCAGCUGCAGCGCUGGGUAAGCCUUGAGGUUCAGAGAAUCAUGGAAUCUCCUGAGCUGGAAGGAUCCACAAGGAUCCAGUCCAGCCCCUGGCGCUGCACAGACCCCCCCACCAGUCCCAGCCUGGGCAUCCCUGGCAGCGCUGCCCAAACGCUCCUGGAGCUCUGGCAGCUCGGGGCCGUGCCCAUUCCCUGGGGAGCCUGGGCAGUGCCCAGCACCCUCUGGGGGAAGAACCUUUCCUGGAUAUCCAA
rnacentral:lncRNA from 13 species